AGUAAUGCAUAGGAAUCUGCCCGGUAGUGGGGGAUAACUUGAGGAAACUCAAGCUAAUACCGCAUACGCCCUACGGGGGAAAGCAGGGGCUCUUCGGACCUUGCGCUAUCGGAUGAGCUUAUGUCGGAUUAGCUGGUUGGUGAGGUAAUGGCUCACCAAGGCGACGAUCCGUAGCUGGUCUGAGAGGAUGAUCAGCCACAUCGGGACUGAGACACGGCCCGAACUCCUACGGGAGGCAGCAGUGGGGAAUAUUGGACAAUGGGCGAAAGCCUGAUCCAGCCAUGCCGCGUGUGUGAAGAAGGCCCUCGGGUUGUAAAGCACUUUCAGUGAGGAAGAAGGCUUGUCGGUUAAUACCCGACAGGAAGGACAUCACCCAC
rnacentral:rRNA from 1 species